CUUCACCGAACCCAGCCACAGCGGCUGUUCGGGCGAUCGCUGCUGACCGUAGGUCGCGAUCAGCGCCUGCGCCUC
rnacentral:antisense_RNA from 1 species